rnacentral:lncRNA from 1 species
AUGUUGGACCUUCUUUUCCUAGAAGUGGGUGGACGGAGGCCUCACUAACAGCCUUCCCAUCUUGCCUGUGGGCCACACAGUGACCAUCUCUCUUUUCUGUGGAUGACUGGACAUCUCUCCCCAGGACAAAGGGCAGCUGGAUUUGUAUAUUAACAUCAACAAUCGGGAUAUCAUGCUGUCCCUGGCAAACUUGGUGAGGCUGAACCAAUCCCUCUUCCCACCAAGUCAAAAGAAAAUGGAGUCUUUUUAUCGAUGUGGAUUUAAUGACACUGUUAAGUUUUUACAGAAAGAAAACUGGUUUGGAUAAAAUACCUAAAAGUGCGUAGCCCAAAAUAGGUUUCAGGCAGCUUUAGAGGGAUGUUUCUAUUUAAAUCCUUUGUAGAAAAAUCUCA